ACUUAAAUAGCUUAUUUAGAGCAUAAUAGUGAAGUUAUUAAGGAAAUUAAAUUAAUUUUUAAGUA
rnacentral:tRNA from 1 species